rnacentral:rRNA from 1 species
AGUGAACGCUGGCGGUAGGCCUAACACAUGCAAGUCGAACGGCAGCACAGUAAUAGCUUGCUCUUACGGGUGGCGAGUGGCGGACGGGUGAGGAAUACAUCGGAAUCUACUUUUUCGUGGGGGAUAACGUAGGGAAACUUACGCUAAUACCGCAUACGACCUACGGGUGAAAGCAGGGGAUCUUCGGACCUUGCGCGAUUGAAUGAGCCGAUGUCGGAUUAGCUAGUUGGCGGGGUAAAGGCCCACCAAGGCGACGAUCCGUAGCUGGUCUGAGAGGAUGAUCGGCCACCCUGGAACUGAGACACGGUCCAGACUCCUGCGGGAGGCAGCAGUGGGGAAUAUUGGACAAUGGGCGCAAGCCUGAUCCAGCCAUACCGCGUGGGUGAAGAAGGCCUUCGGGUUGUAAAGACCUUUUGUUGGGAAAGAAAAGCAGCAGGUUAAUAACCAGCUGUUCUGACGGUACCCGAAGAAUAAGCACCGGCUAACUUCGUG